UCAUGAUGAUGAACGUGAUGAUGGUUAUGAUGACCAUCAUGGUGAUGAUCAUGAUGAUGGUCAUGGUGAUCAUCAUGGUGAUCGUCAUGUCCAUAA
rnacentral:pre_miRNA from 1 species